AUCCCGUAUUUUUGAACGUCGGAUUAAUUGUAAGUUGAGGUGGGGCCCACACGUCAAGAUUUUUUUUGGGACAUGUGACAAAUUAUAUGAAUCACAUAUGUGAAGUUAAACACAACUCAAGAAGGACCCUUGGGCCAAAUCAAAGUGGAAGUCCUCCAAACGAAUAUUUUUAAGAAAACGUUUUCGGGUGACCUGACUCUGGGGGGCAAAAACAGUAUUAUAAGUUUGGAAUUUGGAAAAAUACCAAGAAAUAGAAGUUGUAGAUAAUUGAAUUAUCUUUCCAACCAUAGGUCGUGGGUUCCCAGGUGACGUCGGGACAAUGAGAUAUGGACGUUUUAAUGCAGAAAGGUUGGUGGGCUAGGCCCAAUCCGAGCCCAACCGGGUUAGGCCCAUUACCCAAGUUUUUAUAAGUGAAAAUUUCGGCCUUCCUCCUCAUUUUAAGACCUGUAACAACCAGAAAAUUCUGGAAAGAGAGAGAGAGGAGCUUUGGAGAGAAGAAAAACUAAUUUUGACCAAAAUCCGAGCCCCGAAUCCCGAAGCCCAUGAAGGGAAAAGUGUUGUACGCUGCGUUGUCUUCAAUUUGAGCUAAAAAUCAACCAAGGAGGAGGGUGAUAACGUGGUGGCUGAAUUCUUAAGAUUUUGGGCGAAACGGGAAUUGAAUUUGGAAAGGCGUAAAGAGCAUACAAGGUAUGUAAAGCUAUCCCGAUUAUUCUUUUGGCAUGUCCUAGGUGUACUAGGAUCGGAUUCGAGCCUCGGAAAGUAUUCUGCUCAUCGGAAUCCGCAUUUGAAAAUACCCCUUUUUCAUUCAAUGGAAUUGAACCCUAUAAGUAUGCUUUAUUGAAAGAAUUGUGCAAACUUCCGCAAAUUGUUUAGAAAAUUAUGGAAUGUCCCCAGAAUCUCCGUAGGUGACUUUAUAAGCUUAAAAUACGUAAUUUGAGCCCACCGCUUCGUUUGUCCCGAGGUGGGCCCACUAUUUCCGAUUUUACCCUUUUAGUGGUUAUGACUUGUCUUCGAGCGUUUUUUUUUUAAAGAAAUGUUUUUAACUACGCUUGUAAUUACUAAAUAAAACUUGUUUUAAAUAUUCCAUUAAGUCUUGUAAAACUGUUUCGGAACUUGGAAACGAACUUAGAAAGAUUAUGCUUCUGUAAUCCAUUAUGACAUCCGAAAUACACUCACUAUGAUUCUGUCCGAUUUCAUUAUUUCGAUUUGUCAUCCGAUAGGUCUUAUUGAGUCUCUGGAAAUAUAUGACAUUCGUUUGAAUUAUUUUGAUAAGCCCAUAAUGUAUUUUGAAACAUGAAAAUGAUUACAAAAAGCUUAUUUUGACAUAUGCUAUUGGGAUAUCCGAAAUGCAUACACUAUGAUUACUGCUCCGCUUCUGUCAUAUGGUUUGUCAUCUGAAUUAUGCUACUGAGUCUCCGUAAAUGUGCUAUAUUUUAUUUUGCAUUAGUUUCUCACUACUCCAUUCGUGGAUGCCCCAAUGUUUCCCACACUGAGCCCGGGCCAGGAUAUGUUGUCAAGCGUAUUCCUCUGCAUUGUUCGCCGUGCCUCGAUGUGAGGGGGCAGGUAUACAUGUACAUGGGUUGUGGAGUAUGCUGUGCCAUGUACACACUCUGAUAUGAUAUGAUAUGAUCUGAUAUGGCCAUCUGAUAUGAUAUGUUAUGUUACGGGGUUAUCCCCUAUUCUGCUCCUUAUGUGUGGUGGCACCAGCGUCGGGGGGUGGCCACGUUCUGUUUGCCGAGUCCCUUGGAAGGGGUCGGAUAUGAUAUGGUAUAUGUUUCUGUACACACUCCUCAUGUUUCGAAAAUAUGCAUUUGAUACUUCGGAUGUUACACUCACUUCUCUGUAAGCUCUGUUUCGGUUAUGAUCUUGUUCCAUAAUGGGACCAGGUACGACAUAUGUUUCCAGCGAAUAUUAUUUAUGCUAUAUGAUCAGCAUUUUGCUAAUCUGGAUAUUCAGUUCAUUUUCUGUAUCUUCUGCUUCGAUUAUGACUUUGUUUACUACGUUCCGUGCUUUACAUACUCAGUACAUAUUUCGUACUGACCCCCUUCCUUCGGGGGCUGCGUUUUCAUGCCGCGCAGGUACAAACGACAGGUUUGCUGAUCCGCCCGCUUAGGACUUUAUUCUGCUAUUUUGGAGCGCUCCUUUAUCCGGAGCCCAUAUUUUGGUACAGUCUUCUGCUAUCGUAUAUAUGUACAUUAUUCAGGGGUACGACGGGGCCCUGUCCCGUCUUAUGAUUCUGUUAUGUUCUGUAGAGGUCUGUAGACAUACUUGUGUGGGUUCUGUAUAUGUUUUGGAUGAUAUGAUCUGUGACAGCCUUAUCGGCUUCCAUGUACUAUGUCGGUUCAUUUAUGAUAAUUACUAACGCCAA